rnacentral:rRNA from 1 species
AGAGACAGCAGCCGCCGCGGGAAUACGAAGGGUGCAAGCGUUACUCGGAAUUACUGGGCGUAAAGCGUGCGUAGGUGGUGGUUUAAGUCCGUUGUGAAAGCCCUGGGCUCAACCUGGGAAUUGCAGUGGAUACUGGGUCACUAGAGUGUGGUAGAGGAUAGUGGAAUUUCCGGUGUAGCAGUGAAAUGCGUAGAGAUCGGAAGGAACAUCUGUGGCGAAGGCGACUAUCUGGGCCAACACUGACACUGAGGCACGAAAGCGUGGGGAGCAAACAGGAUUAGAUACCCCCGUAUCCCUGUCUCUUAUACA